GAUUUUAGAAAUCGUGAGGGUUCAAGUCCCUCUAUCCCCA
rnacentral:tRNA from 11 species